UACGGAGGGUGCGAGCGUUGUCCGGAAUCAUUGGGCGUAAAGGGCGCGUAGGUGGCUUCUCAAGCGUGCGGUGAAAGCCUGGGGCUCAACCCCGGGUCGGCCGUGCGAACUGGGGGGCUGGAGCACUGUAGAGGCAGGCGGAAUUCCGGGUGUAGCGGUGGAAUGCGUAGAGAUCCGGAAGAACACCGGUGGCGAAGGCGGCCUGCUGGGCAGUUGCUGACACUGAGGCGCGACAGCGUGGGGAGCAAACAGG
rnacentral:rRNA from 1 species